rnacentral:rRNA from 1 species
UACGGAGGAUCCGAGCGUUAUCCGGAUUUAUUGGGUUUAAAGGGUGCGUAGGCGGCCUGUUAAGUCAGGGGUGAAAGACGGUAGCUCAACUAUCGCAGUGCCUCUGAUACUGAUAGGCUUGAAUACACUUGAGGUAGGCGGAAUGUGACAAGUAGCGGUGAAAUGCAUAGAUAUGUCACAGAACACCAAUUGCGAAGGCAGCUUACUAAAGUAUGAUUGACGCUGAGGCGCGAAAGCGUGGGGAGCAAACAGG